rnacentral:rRNA from 1 species
GCAUCCACGAUGAGGUACAGGGCUGUCGCUGACCUUCCAAAGGUUGUGCACGCCCAAGUGCUCUCACACAUCCAUUCUACCCCUUUGGGCAUCACCGCGUGGGGGUCCCCUGAAAAGGGGGAAGCCCGCGUUUUUUUUUCCACACAAACAUAAUUUAAAAUGUGUCUUUUUUGCGAUGAUACGCAAUCCAUACAACUUUCAACAACGGAUCUCUUGGUUCUCGCAUCCAUGAAGAACGCAACGAAAUGCGAUACGUAAUGUGAAUUGCAGAAUUCAGUGAAUCAUCCAGUUUUUGAACGCAACUUGCGCCCCUUGGCAUUCCGAGGGGCACACCCGUUUGAGUGUCGUGGAAUUCUCAAAAUUCUUUUCAUUGAAAGGAUUUUGGACUUGGAAGAUCAAUGCUCACUCUCACCUUUUUUGAAAGAGAGCUCCUCUUAAAUGAAUUAACGGGGUUUGCUUUGCUGAUCCUUGACGUGAUAAAGUGGUUCUACCUUUUGGAUUUUGGCACUGUCCCUUUAGACACCCGCUCCUAACCGUCUUGUGGACAAUGGUGGUGCUUCUGGUCAUCGCUGCCCAUGUUGGCACGAAGCUUGUUCCACAUGGAAAACCUUGACCUCAAAUCGGGUGAGACUAACCGCUGAACUUAAGCAUAUCAUAGAUCGGGAGGAAG